UAAGCAGGAAGAGGAGGAGCGGUGAGGCAGAGGCGGAGUCUCAGCCAAAUUCUGACCAGAACUUCUGCCGAGUAACCUCCAGCUCUCUGUCUGCGUCUACGGCAAUAACACGAAAAGGCACAUUCAGCGCUUAAAGUGCGCCAAAAAAAAAAUAUGAAUGCAACCGUGUUGAUGUGCGCAGUGCGGACAAGAUGCGUGCAGACCGUCCGACGACCUCCGCUGCUGCUUCCGCCUGUGUCCGUCUCCGCCUCCUUCACGGAGCUCAAAGUCUGAGCAGAACAUGUGGUGUUUGGUCCUCCAGGUUCAGAGGUGCCUGCAGUCCACUCAGCCCGUCCCUGCUGCCCGGCUCCCAUACAGGGUGAAGCUAUCUGCUGGGAAACGCUACGCCUGGUGUGCUUGUGGUCACAGCAAGAAACAGCCUUUCUGCGACGGCACUCACAAAGCAAAAGCCCCAAAUAUCUCACCGCUACUUUUCACCGCCGACAAAAACAAGACAGUGAUGCUCUGUGCCUGUAAGCAAACCAAGAACUCUCCAUACUGCGACGGCUCACACUUGAAAGUCAUCUAUAGGGAUGUGAUAAAGUAUGUUAAAGGCCUGUUUAAAUGAUCCAGGUCAUCAUAUCUUACCUUGCCACAUUGUUUGAUGCAAAUACUUUUGAUAAUACACAAAUGCUGCUUAUAUGUAUCCAAGCUUUUUUUUUUAUUAUUAUUAUUUUUUUGGGGGGGGUAACAUAAUAUUGUUCAUGAGCACUAAAAGAAGUCUUUCUGUAUUUAUCAAAUAAGGACUGUAGUAUGAACCUGAUUUCUGUAAGAGUUCAAUAAAAGCAUAUUUUUACAAAA